AUUGAACGCUGGCGGCAUGCUUUACACAUGCAAGUCGAACGGCAGCACGGGUGCUUGCACCUGGUGGCGAGUGGCGAACGGGUGAGUAAUACAUCGGAACGUACCUUAUCAUGGGGGAUAACGCAGCGAAAGCUGUGCUAAUACCGCAUACGCCCUGAGGGGGAAAGCGGGGGAUCGCAAGACCUCGCGCGAUUAGAGCGGCCGAUGCCUGAUUAGCUUGUUGGUGGGGUAAAAGCCCACCAAGGCGACGAUCAGUAGCUGGUCUGAGAGGACGAUCAGCCACACUGGGACUGGGACACGGGCCAGACUCCUACGGGAGGCAGCAGUGGGGAAUUUUGGACAAUGGGGGCAACCCUGAUCCAGCAAUGCCGCGUGAGUGAAGAAGGCCUUCGGGUUGUAAAGCUCUUUUGUCAGGGAAGAAACACCGGCUCUAACACAGUCCGGGAAUGACGGUACCUGAAGAAUAAGCACCGGCUAACUACGUGCCAGCAGCCGCCGUAA
rnacentral:rRNA from 1 species